CCUACGGGAGGCAGCAGUGGGGAAUCUUGCGCAAUGGGCGAAAGCCUGACGCAGCCAUGCCGCGUGAAUGAUGAAGGUCUUAGGAUUGUAAAAUUCUUUUCACCGGGGACGAUAAUGACGGUACCCGGAGAAGAAGCCCCGGCUAACUUCGUGCCAGCAGCCGCGGUAAUACGAAGGGGGGCUAGCGUUGCUCGGAAUUACUGGGCGUAAAAGGGAGCGUAGGCGGAUAGUUUAGUCAGAGGUGAAAGCCCAGGGCUCAACCUUGGAAUUGCCUUUGAUACUGGCUAUCUUGAGUAUGGGAGAGGUUAGCGGAACUCCGAGUGUAGAGGUGAAAUUCGUAGAUAUUCGGAAGAACACCAGUGGCGAAGGCGGCUAACUGGCCCAUUACUGACGCUGAGGCUCGAAAGCGUGGGGAGCAAACAGGAUUAGAUACCCUGGUAGUCCACGCCGUAAACGAUGAGUGCUAGUUGUCGGCAUGCAUGCAUGUCGGUGACGCAGCUACGACAUUAAGUACACUCCGCCGUGGGGAGGUACGGCCGCGAGAUUAAACUACAAAGAGUAGUAGCGUCGNGAGACGCGACGACGACGACGACGGAGGGUUAGGUUAG
rnacentral:rRNA from 1 species